GAUUGCAGGCUGCAACUCGCCUGCAUGAAGUCGGAAUUGCUAGUAAUCGUGGAUCAGCAUGCCACGGUGAAUACGUUCCCGGGCCUUGUACACACCGCCCGUCACACCAUGGGAGUCGGUAACACCCGAAGCCUGUAGUCUAACCGCAAGGAGGACGCAGUCGAGGGUGGGAUUGAUGACUGGGGUGAAGUCGUAACAAGGUACC
rnacentral:rRNA from 1 species